rnacentral:sRNA from 2 species
UGAUAGAUGAUGCAUAGGAGAGUUGACUGAGAGUGGUCAAAUAGCACCAUGAGCCUCCUGGACAUGGACAUAUCCAUGAGCGUGAAGCUACUGCCUAUCGACGACUCUAGGCGCAUGGUGUGACUGAAACAGGCUAUGUACCCCAAUUCUAUGGAAGCAUCGAAAAGCCUGAACCCAAACAAUGAUAGCCAUAGCGGAAUAUGUUUAUAAAUGACGUAGAGCUCCCAAGUGCGAUAUCCAUCGAAUGUAUUCCCGACAUGCGUCAAUUGCAUCCUGAAACAUCUACUAAAGAGCGUAUGGCUAAAUUUGUCGUGGCUAUCAAGAAAUUUCAUGGUCAACUCCUGGAGAAAG